rnacentral:lncRNA from 1 species
AAACCUUUUUUCCUCCGUCGUAUCCAAGUGGAGAAGACGACGAUGUCGCAGCUCUUAUCUUCUCCUCCAAUGGCGGCAAACUCCAAAACCUUCUUAACCCAUCGGUUCCCAGAAGCUCGUGUUCUCAACGCCGCCGGUGGUUUUGUAGGAAAACGGCAUGGCUUCGCCGUGAGACCGACGGAGAGGGUGAAGCUAACGGUGAAGUCUCGGUAUAGCGACUCAUCUUCGCCGGCUUACUCUCCACAAAAUGGUAAAACCCACUUGAAAAAAAGCUUGUUCCUUUUUGUUUGAAUACUGAAAAAUGGAAGCUUGGAAUCCAGAAACAUCGAAAGCAUAGAGCUCUCAUAGUGUAUGUGUGUUUGUUUGGAUUAGGGGAAGGAUCUUCGCCACGGUUUUAUGUGGGUCAUUCGAUUUACAAAGGGAAGGCUGCUCUUACGAUAGAGCCUCGUGCGCCCGAGUUUGUGGCUUUAGAAGUAUGUCUCUUUUACCAAAUCUCUAUUGAGUCUUCUCUCUGUAGAUCUUAGAUUGGUCUCCGUUGUCUUUGUUCAGUCUGGUGCGUUCAAGCUUUCGAAGGAAGGGUUCUUGCUGCUCCAGUUUGCUCCUGCAGCUGGUGUUCGUCAGUACGAUUGGAGCAGGAAACAGGUCUGGUGUUAUCCGUUACUUAGUAGUCUAUGGAAUUGUGAUGAUGAUCAUGAACUUGGUUUUGUGAUAGAAGUUUGAUUGGGGUAAGUUGAUGUUUUGAUUUGAAUUGAUGCAGGUGUUCUCGUUAUCAGUUACAGAGAUUGGUAAUGUAGUUAGCCUCGGGCCGAGGGAAUCAUGUGAGUUCUUCCAUGAUCCUAACAAGGGAAAAGGGUAUGCUGAGGACCCUGUGAGAUCUAUUUGAUUACUUGGAUUAUGUUGUUGUUUUAGUUCUGUUUCGUGAAUCGAUGUUGUGUUAUGGUUGUUGUAGUAGUGAUGAAGGUAAAGUGAGGAAGGUACUGAAAGUUGAGCCCCUUCCAGAUGGUUCUGGCCGCUUCUUUAACCUGAGUAAGUGAAUCUUCCUUUUUUCGUUUCUUUCAUGGACUAAAAGCUCUUCUGAUAUCCACCAUUGUUGGUGUUUUUUGCAUGAAGGCGUUCAAAACAAGCUUUUGAAUGUAGAUGAGAGUGUGUACAUACCAAUCACCAAAGCAGAGUUUGCUGUUCUUAUCUCUGCUUUCAACGUAAGAUCUCUCUCACUGUCUCUUAAUCUCUUUGUAUAGAACCAUUUGCCUUUAUAUUAACUUUUAUACAUUGUGUCAGCAGUUCAUCUUGCCGCACCUUAUAGGCUGGCAAGCGUUUGCAAGCUCUAUCAAACCAGAAGACUCUAACCGUCUUAACAAUGCGUCCCCAAAGUAUGGAGGAGACUACGAAUGGAGUAGAUGAUUGAGAACUAUACAGACAACCCUGCAAGCUCGGUUCUUGUGUCCAUCCCAUCUUUUUGUUAUCGCUAUCAACGAGUGGCAGUAGAAGUAGUAGUGUUUUAGACCAAAUGGGAUGUGUUGUUGUGUAGGAAAAACUCAUUUUGUGUUUUACAAAUUUUGUUUUUAGUCAUGAGCAAACGGUUAGAAUUUUGGUAAUACAAAGAAUCAACUUGAUCACAAAGGGUCUUCACUACACCUUCUAAGAAGGCAUAUAGGCAAAAGUUCUCGAUCCCGAGGUCAUAAACCAAGGAUUGGAUUUGCAGUGUUAGUAGUGUUCUAAAAUACGGUUUACGGUAACCGACAAUAUUGUUUUCAUGUUAUACAGUGUUUUAUGCAGAUUUAUAUAAUUCAGGCGAAUGAUAGCGUUUAGACGGACCUACAAAGAGAAAGAAAUCGUUGUGUGCUUGAUCGCAUCAUCUGUUUUACGUGCUCCGAAUCAAGACAAUACCAGUAGUCCUCAAAGAGAACCCUGUUCUUGCUCAAACAAACACCUGGAAGUUUAACAAGUUGCUUCUCAUUUGCGGAAAGUAAACCUCCGUUGUAGGCCUGUGAUUUCGGUUUUUCGAAACCGAACCGAACCGAUUUUUCGAUUUUCGGUUAACCGAUUUUUUUGGAAAAAAUUCCGAAGAAAACCGAAUUUUAAUUCGGUUCAAUUCGGUUCGGUUUUCGGUUAUUUCCGGUUUUUGAUUUUAUUCCAAAAAAAAAACAAAUCAACAUUUUCAAUAAAAAAAUCGGAUCACUCGGUUAAUUUCGGGUAUUUACAGUUCCUAUCGGGUAUCGAUUACCCAAGGUUGUUUCGGUUAUGCCUCUGUUUUCACCUGCCCAAUCAAAUAAUCAUGCAAUCAACAAUAGAAAAAUAAUCUCCAAUAUCAAAACCAACUUAUAUUCGAUUCACCAAGUUAAAACAUUCAAAAGAGAUCACUCUCAAACAUGAAAAUUCAAAAAAGAAAACAAUCUGAAUCUCUUUUGCAAAGAUCAGACUUUGAAAGAUACAUAGAUUCAUGAAGUUCAAAAGGAUAAGUUGUCCAAAAGAGAGUGAUAGGCUAAGUUGGUUUUGACUUCCUCGACAUUCCAACCUACAAGUUUAUGAAGAAAAUCAGUAAAAACAGGGAGAAGAACAAACUACAAGAAACUAUACAAAUAAGAGAGCAACAGAUUACCUCUAAUGAUCAGAUUCACUCGGAAUUUGCAAAGACUCUACAUAAUGUCAAAGGCAGUUAGGAACUUAUGACUGUGAACAUAUAAAAAUUGAAGGAAAAUAGUUAAAUGAUUACCUAAUGACUCAUGAAAAUCGAGUUCCUCAAACAUCUGAACCAAGCUUGCAACCUUCUCAGCCUGGAUGUUGUUUCGAAGCCACUGUUGUAGGCAGACAAGAGCUUCAAUCAUAUAUGGAGUCAGACAACUACGAAACGGAUCUAAAAUCCUACCACUUGUACUGAAUGCUGACUUUAAAGCAACAUAGGAGACUUGAACAGCUAGCACAUCUUUUGCUAGUUCAGACAAGAUUGGAAACUUACAAGAGUUCUUCCUCCACCAAGAUAACACAUUGUAGUCCAAGCCGAAGUUGUUUGAGCCUCGUGGUACUGGUUUUUCCAUCAAGUAGAUGUCGAGUUCACUGCUACCUUCUUCAUUUGCUGCCUCUGAAACCAUCUUUGAAUACAAAGAAUCUCUCCUCUCAAAGUCCUCGUCAUCGUCAUCAGAGAUAUCAAACAUGGUUCCAACUUCACCUUCCCUUGACAUUCUUUUUUUAAAAUACCAAAUCAAAAACAAACCUCCUUGAGCUCCUCCAUUCAUGACAGUUAUCUGCCGCGACGAGGAUAUCUGACGGACCUCCAUAGCUAACCGUUGCAUCUACAACAUCCCACACUUUCUAACUCAAACAAUCUCUUCACCUCAAAAAGACUCACACACAACAGUACCUGAGUAGCCAUGUCAUCAGAAUCGUCAUCUGAAUGAUCUCCUGACCCCUCAAAUCGCUUCACCAAAGACUUCAAAAAAACAAAAAAAAGGAACCUUUUGGACUAAACCCUUCUCAUUCAAAACUCAGAAGAACAAGUUAAAAGCUUUACUACCUGUAGCUCCCCCAAAAGAUCCGCCAUUUUUCCAUUCUUCACAAGGAUUGUACUUGUGUAACCUUUCACAUUCGAAAACCAAUAAGCAACAAAAGAGAGUUAGAUAAAUCUUCGGAGAGACUCCACAGUGAUGAUCGAGAAACGUAGACCCCUAGUUACCUGCUCCAGCUAGAAUCAAAAUCCUCGUUAACCCAAUACCGGAUUGCAUAGCCAUUGUCAAUAAAAGAGUUGUCUUUAUUCUUCUUCUUCUUCUUCGUCGAGGUCUGAAACUUAGCUCUCGCCGGCGUAAUAAACCUCCCCGUCAAGCUUGCUCAAUGCUGGUUUUGCGGAACGGGGUCGUUUUAUUAAAACAAAUAUCGGCUGUUGAUGAUGAUGCGCACAAGCGUAAUAAACAAAUCUGAACCGUACAUUUUAAUUCUAUUGGCCCAAUUUUGUGAUAAACUGUCAAGCUGCUCAACGCCGGUUUAUAGUAAACGCUGUCGUUUUACGAAACUAGUCUGGGCCGUGUAUUAAAUAAAUCUGAAUCGUUGAUUUAAAUUUUUUAAGUAAAAACUAUUGGGCCAAUUUUAUAAAGAUCUUAAAAUUAUCGAGUAAAAACGAAUUAAUACAAAAGUUUAUCUCUCCUUAGUUGAAAUUUGAAACCUUUUUUCCUCCGUCGUAUCCAAGUGGAGAAGACGACGAUGUCGCAGCUCUUAUCUUCUCCUCCAAUGGCGGCAAACUCCAAAACCUUCUUAACCCAUCGGUUCCCAGAAGCUCGUGUUCUCAACGCCGCCGGUGGUUUUGUAGGAAAACGGCAUGGCUUCGCCGUGAGACCGACGGAGAGGGUGAAGCUAACGGUGAAGUCUCGGUAUAGCGACUCAUCUUCGCCGGC